AUUGGACGCUGGCGGCAGGCCUAACACAUGCAAGUCGAGCGGAUGAAGGGAGCUUGCUCCUGGAUUCAGCGGCGGACGGGUGAGUAAUGCCUAGGAAUCUGCCUGGUAGCGGGGGAUAACGUCCGGAAACGGGCGCUAAUACCGCAUACGUCCUGAGGGAGAAAGUGGGGGAUCUUCGGACCUCACGCUAUCAGAUGAGCCUAGGUCGGAUUAGCUAGUUGGUGGGGUAAAGGCCUACCAAGGCGACGAUCCGUAACUGGUCUGAGAGGAUGAUCAGUCACACUGGAACUGAGACACGGUCCAGACUCCUACGGGAGGCAGCAGUGGGGAAUAUUGGACAAUGGGCGAAAGCCUGAUCCAGCCAUGCCGCGUGUGUGAAGAAGGUCUUCGGAUUGUAAAGCACUUUAAGUUGGGAGGAAGGGCAGUAAGUUAAUACCUUGCUGUUUUGACGUUACCAACAGAAUAAGCACCGGCUAACUUCGUG
rnacentral:rRNA from 1 species